UGGCCACUCUCUCUGGUUGCCAGCCCAGCACCAAGCCUCCCAGACAUUGAUUCUCUGCUGCUCUGUGGCAUAGAAGACUACAGUGAUGGGCUCUGCAGACUUCACCUUGGAGUCCCCCUUUCAUCCCUGCUCAUUAGUCUCCUCCUCGGUUGUUUGGUUGAAUGUUUCCUAAUGCCAAGGGACAAGGCCACCUACAUCCCAAGCCAGCUGGAGGAGCAGCUUCCAGUCUUCAGAGAUGGGCCCCUCUUCUUCAGUUGGCCUUGGUAGUCAGGACAGAGGACAGAGGGAUAUAUUGUAACAUAUAUUGUAAAAUUUGAGCCACAUACACGGGAUAAAUGACAACGCAAAUAAUCAUCUCCGAAAAGAAAUCUGACAUCCGACGACUUAGAGGCCAGAGCCAUUGCUGACGCUCCUGGGGAGGAACAUUCUUUGCAAGCAUUUGUGCCUCAGUGAGGGUGGUGGGGAGCCAGCAAAGUGCUGGGCUCUGCAGAAAUCUAGGGGGCUGCCUGGGUGAUGUACAAAUGCAGACCUAUUACAUCAAUAGAAAAAUGUAAUGUGUUCAUUACUAUCAAGGCGGAGUGCUUUUUAAAUUCACCAUUUCUGAAAGACUCAGGAUUAAUGUCAAACUGUAUGAAAAGACCCAGCCUUUCACCUUUCUUUCUCUUGACCAUAGAAUGCGGGUCUAGUAGGGGGAGAGCAAAGGGGGCACUUUAGAAGAAUUGUGAAGCAAGCACAGACAGGGUCACAGAGAGCCCUGGUAUAGCAGAGGUCCACCCCCACCCUGGUGUCCUCAUACACAUUAUCGCACUAAGGAACUAGGCAGAACUCUAAGAAGGGCUGGUGAAGGAGAGAAGACACGGGGACUCAGCACAUUGGCUGUGCUGACAUAUGUGAGCCUGAGUUGGAAGAUGGCGUGAAUUAAGACUGAAGCCAAGACCCCCUCCCUCAAAAACAGCACUUAUAGAUGUUAGAGGGCAGAAAGGCAAAGUCAGAGGAAGCCUAAGGUUAAGUGAGUACGUACCCUGCACCGGGCACUAUCCAAGGUACUUUACAUGAAUUCUUAAAGAGCUUCUGAGAUAUAAAUAUUAUUAUAAAACCCAUUUGACUAAUGGAAACCUGAGGGUCAGAGAGGUUAAAUAAUGCACUAAAUGACAUACUUGAGGUCACCGAGAUAGAGAGUGGCAUAUUCAGAAUCGGAAACUAAAUCUGUAAUACCUCCCAGGCUCAUGUUCCUUUUAUGCCACAUGCCAUGUGUAGCCCCAAUGUCAAGGGCUAGGGGUGGGGAAAAAGAGCAGACAGCAGGCAGGAUGAGACUCCCUGGAGGUCUGAGGGAAGGAACAUCCUGGUGUAGGAAUAUUGUGCCUGCAAGGUUGCUGAGAUAUGUCUGUACACAGCCUGGUGAAUCUGGAAGUGUUGAAGAAAUGGCUUUUGUUUUGUUUUGUUUUGUUUUUUUAAACAGGAGCCAGAAACCAGAGGGAUCCCUAAGAGGACGAAGACAGCUGCAGAGCAAGUCCAGGUUACCCUGAAACUGAAGGUGUGAAGGUGCAAGCUCAGAGCCCAAACCCAAAGGCCACCAUACAGAUGGGGAACUGGUGGGACACCAGCAUUCCUGGGGCUCAGUGUGAGUGCAGGCAGCAUGGACAGGGGGUGACAACAUACAGUGAGGGUGGGGGCAGGCCAUGUCCUGGCUUCAUGAGACAGGCUAAUGUUGUUUGCAUGCCCAGCUAUUUACAAUCAGGAGACUGAACUGUGACUCUGCAGAGGCUUAUACCAGCUAUAUACAGGAGCCCUUUUUCUUGUAUGCUUUGCCCACUGUAGACACUCACGACUGUAGGGAUCCCAGGUAGGAAGGUAAUGAGGGAGACUAGGCUCCAUCUAGCAACCAUAUGUGCAGAAAUGACAAAGAAAACAGGACCUAGAGUUUGGAGAGAGGGUAGGUGGGGUUCUUCUGACUUCUCAGAGUACAGAGUCACAUGGUUUCCCAGAAAGCAAGGUUCACAGGACACAUGCAUAUGGACAUGAACACAAGAAGAGUCUCGAUCAUAAGGCUGGGCCUCCAGGAACCUGAGGAAAGCUGCCCAGCCAUGCCUCAUGGAGAGUGAAUGUUUAAAAAUCAGAAGGUCAUUCAAGACUGAGGACAUCUCCGGAACCAGGUUUUAAGGCUGUCCUCUUAGCGGGUGGGUUUUGUCCACUCUUCAGCUCCACCGCUGACAUUAUCAGACUUUUUCCUGUAGGCACCAGAGUCACGGGGCCUAUGACAAUGUUUCAGAUCUUGAAAAUACAUUAUGAGUCCAAAAUAUGAAACAAGAACUAUAAAAAUCCCAUUGAUACACAUUUUAUUAGUAUACCCAAAGUUCAUUAAUUUAAUAUUUGUGCUGGGUGUGGUGGCUUUACACCUGUAAUCUCGGUGCUUUGGGAGGCCAAGGUUGGAGGACUGCUUGAAGCCAGGAGUUUGAGACCUGCCUGGGCGACACAGGGAGACCCCACAUCUCUACAAAAAAUAAAGAUAAAAAUUAGCUGGGCGCAGUUGUGUUUGCCUGUUGUCCCACCUACUCGGGAGGCGGAAGUGGGAGGAUCGCUUGAGCCCAGGAGUUUCAAGUGCAGUGAGCCAUGAUCCCUUCACUGCCCUACAGCCUGGGCAACAGAGCAAAACACUGUCACUAAUAAAUAAAUAAAUAUUUAAUAUUUGUAAAAUAUUUGAAAUCAAAUUGUAAGUUAGGAUCUCAUAUUUCCCAAAUAUGCCCAAUGAUUGAGACAUCAAAGCCAAUCAUAAAUGAAAUGUGUCAAGAUUCUAUACACAGAAAAUUGUAAGCAGGAAACUUAAUGUGAGCAUGGUGACAUUUUAGUGUGUUUGAUGUGCAGCCUCUGAAGCUCUUCAAAUUGGCCUGGAGGAGAUUCAGCACCUUAUGUGAGUCAAUUCAACAUUGUUUAUUAAGCACCUACUAUGUACUAGGCAUUGUUCCAGAAACUUGAGUGACAUCGAUGGACCCAAAAAAGAUGUGUCCUCAUCUCUAAAGGGAAACAGUGAAAAGGAAGCAAAAUCAAUAAGUAAAACAUGUAGUGUGUUUGAAGGUAACAAGGAAUAAUAAAAAGUGAGGCCAGGUAAGGGGACCAGGAGGGGUGGGGUGGGGUGGGGUGGGAGAAAGCAGUGGCAAGAAAUGGAGUUGUCAGUUUAGGCCUCUGUUAAAAAGUGAGAUGUGAGAAGGACUUGAAGAAGGUGAGCCAAGGAAAUAUCUGGAAGGAAUGUGUUCCAAGAAGGGCGAACAGCUACAAUAAAGGCCUAAGAUAUGCCUGCUGUGCUUGAGGAACAGCAAGGGGGCCAGUGUAACUUGAAGUGGGAGGCACAGAAACAAUGUUGGGUCAGGGUGCAGGUCCGCCAGGCCCUACAGGUCAUCACAGGGAAUUGCUUCACACUCAAGGAAAUUGGGGACCGUAGGAAGUUCUGCGCAAGUGGAAGGUGGGAGCUGCCAUUGGCAGGAACUGGGAGAGUUGAGGGUGAGAGUGAGGCAUGUUUGGGGUAGGAACAGGAGCAAUCAGGAUUUCAGGUUGGACAUGUUGAGUCUGAGCAUCUGUGAAACAUUCAGAUAGAGAGGUUAAGUGGGCAGUUGGGCCUAUGAGUAGGAGCUCGGGAGAGGUGGACAGGUUCGAGUUUUCGGCAGAUUUUAUAGAGAUGAUGUUUAAGGCCACAGAGUGGGAUGACCUCACUAAGGGAGAGUGGAGAAGGAGAAAAGAAAAGGAAAAAGGCCAGAACCCUGGGCACUCCAACUGUUAUGGGCUGGGGAGAAGAGAGACGAGGAAGAGCCAGCAAAACAAGCUGAUGCGUGACCGGGGACACAGGAGGAAAACCAAGAGAGUGUUGUCCAGGAAGUCAACGCAGCACAGGAAGGCAGAGGGCUGCCAUGAUGAACAUACAGGAAUGCAAGUGCAGGUCUGAACAGGGCUUGGACAUAUGAACAACUCAGCAAGUGAUAGCUAUUUUUUUUUUUUUUUUUUUGAGACAGUGUCUUGCUCUGUCACCCAAGCUGGAGUGCAGUGGUACAAUCAUGAUUCACUGCAGUCUUUACCUCCUGGGCUCAAGCAAUCCUCCUGUUUCAGCCUCCCAAGUAGCUGAGACCACAGGCAUGUGCCAAUACAACCAGCUAAUUUUUUAAUUUUUUUGUAGUUGUACAAAAAAAUUAAAUUUUUAAAUUUUUUUUUGCUGCCCAGGCUGGUCUCAAUCCUCCCACUUUGGCCUCCCAAAGUGCUGGGAUUACAGGUGUGAGCCACUGUGCCCAGCCAUCAUUGUUAUUUGAAUUACUGUACGAGUAGUGUUACGUGAGCACUGCGUGAGCGGAGGAAGGUGGAAGGCCUGGCAGAGAAACGAGCUCUUUGCUAAUCAGAUUAUCAUGGCUAAGAAUCUACAGUCAACCAGAGUCUGAUGGAGGGGCAUCUUUGCUUAGCUACUCGCAGAUUAAAGCAAUUCUGCCCUGAGGAAAAGGUCCCAGGUUUAGAGACAGGGCCUUUCUGCUCCUUCCGGCCCCCUGCAUUCCCCACGGUGGGGAAUCUGCAGGCAGGACACUGUUCUGCUGGUGCUCGGUAUUGUCCCCCGGCUUGAGCUGUCAGAUGAUUCCCUGGACCCCUUUUGACCUCUGCCUUUGACCUGGGGAUCAGGUGAUGUGUGACUGGAGGCAGGUCUGCGCAUCCUCUGAGGUGACAGCUCACUUGAGCUCCCCCUUGUCUCUGCCUGUCACCAGGAGAAAACACCCCCUGUUGGGUUUUCUAAACACGCAUCAGCUUGGGCGGUGACCCAGCCAUAGACACUGAGGAGCGGCUGAAGCAAGGUGUGGCGAAGGUUCCAGCAGAGCCUGGGGAAGGGCCCCCAGAAAGUCAGAUUCUCCCCAAGGCCAUCUCUGGAGCUUGGCUUGAGUGUGGUUGUCUGCCAGGCUCUGGGGGCCUUGCAGUGGUGACUCAUGGGCCAUUUUUGGAGCCCAGACAACUGGAGAGAUCAUCAGACGGUUUGCUGGCUGUCUCAUGAGGCUGCACGUGUAGCUCUGCCAUCCGUCCGUGUGUCCUCGGCAGCUUGCACAUGCCCGGAGCUCUGAAUCUGCAGAGGACAGCUUAUCUUGGAACACCUUUGGGAUGGGAAACUGAUCACCUUUCAAGGAAGCCCAGUCCAUCUGCAUCUGUGCUAGAAAGUUCUUCCUUCUACCGACUCAGAAGCAGUCUCCCUGCUGUUUCCUCCUUGCAUCACGGAGCAAAGCCUGCUGCUUUUUCCAGGAGCAGUGGGGGCACGAAAUGUCCUAUUGUUUACGUACCCAAAGAGUGCUUGCUCUAAGCUCCUUCUCCACGAGAACUCUGCAGCUGCCGCUGACCACAGGAUGCUCGUUUGGACAAUGAAGCCCCUUUCUAAUGGGAGGAUACUUUCAGGAUUGUUGCCCCUAGUGAGCUUCCUACUCCUCCCCUUCCGGUUGCCCCCGGUGUGCCCUCAGGCUCCUGGCAACUCCACUGCUUCACUCAGCCAUCACUCCAACUAGCUUUCUAUAUCUCCAUGCCCCUGUGUUCAGUCCUAAGUGGAGCUACUGGAUAUUUGAGCCUCUCACUCAGCAAGCCUUGGAGCUCCUUCCCUUAAGCCCUACUAGCACCCUUCCCCCAUGCAUGUAGGUCCCGGGGCCCAGCCACCACUGCAGGCAUGGAGGAAGGGGGUGGGCAGUGCACAGGUAUCCAUGGCAAAGGGCCAGCGGGCUGUAUCUGUGGAAACAGAAUCUGUAGCCUCCCUCACUGAUCCUCUCUGAAUCCCCAGCGCUGGAGGGUGUA
rnacentral:lncRNA from 1 species